GAUGAAGAACGCAGUGAAAUGCGAUAAGUAAUGUGAAUUGCAGAAUCUCGUGAAUCAUCGAAUCUUUGAACGCACAUUGCGCCCCUUGGUAUUCCGAGGGGCAUGCCUGUUCGAGCGUCAUUUCAACCCUCAAGCACAGCUUGGUCUUGGGCUUCGCCGCUAACCCGGCGGGUCUUAAAAUCAGUGGCGGUGCCGUCGGGCCCUGAGCGCAGUAAUCUCUCUCGCUAUAGGGUCCCGGCGGAUGCUGGCCAGUAACCCCCAAUUUUCUAUGGUUGACCUCGGAUCAGGUAGGGAUACCCGCUGAACUUAAGCAUAUCAAUAAGCGGAGGA
rnacentral:misc_RNA from 1 species